rnacentral:rRNA from 1 species
AGAGAUGGAUUGGUGCCUUCGGGAACUGUGAGACAGGUGCUGCAUGGCUGUCGUCAGCUCGUGUUGUGAAAUGUUGGGUUAAGUCCCGCAACGAGCGCAACCCUUAUCCUUUGUUGCCAGCGGUUAGGCCGGGAACUCAAAGGAGACUGCCAGUGAUAAACUGGAGGAAGGUGGGGAUGACGUCAAGUCAUCAUGGCCCUUACGACCAGGGCUACACACGUGCUACAAUGGCGCAUACAAAGAGAAGCAAUCUCGCGAGAGCUAGCGGACCUCAUAAAGUGCGUCGUAGUCCGGAUUGGAGUCUGCAACUCGACUCCAUGAAGUCGGAAUCGCUAGUAAUCGUGAAUCAGAAUGUCCACGGUCGAAUACGUUCCGGGCCUUGUACACACCGCCCGUCACACCAUGGGAGUGGGUUGCAAAAGAAGUAGGUAGCUUAACCUUCGGGAGGGCGCUUACCACUUUGUGAUUCAUGACUGGGGUGAAGUCGUAACAAGGUAAGCGUAGAUGA